rnacentral:rRNA from 2 species
GAUGAACGCUAGCGGCAGGCUUAAUACAUGCAAGUCGUGGGGCAGCAGGUUUGUAGCAAUACAGAUGCUGGCGACCGGCAAACGGGUGCGGAACACGUACAGAACCUUCCUUUGAGCGGGGAAUAGCCCAGAGAAAUUUGGAUUAAUACCCCAUAGUAUAAUGAAGUGGCAUCACUUUAUUAUUAAAGAUUUAUCACUCGAAGAUGGCUGUGCGGCUGAUUAGGUAGUUGGCGGGGUAAAGGCCCACCAAGCCUGCGAUCAGUAACUGGUGUGAGAGCACGACCAGUCACACGGGCACUGAGACACGGGCCCGACUCCUACGGGAGGCAGCAGUAAGGAAUAUUGGUCAAUGGAGGCAACUCUGAACCAGCCAUGCCGCGUGGAGGAUGAAGGUCCUCUGGAUUGUAAACUUCUUUUAUAUGGGACGAAAAAAGGCUUUUCUAAGUCGUCUGACGGUACCAUAUGAAUAAGCACCGGCUAACUCCGUG